GGGAAAACCUGCGCUCCUGGCCUGCAGAGGGAGGGGAGGACCCCUUUUGCCAGGCUCCCCCAAACAUUGAGCUCUCAGCUUCACCAGCUGCACCCCAUGGGGUCUUCUUUGCCAGCUUUGGCGAGGGUCUGUUCCUCACUGCGCCAAUGCCCCGGCAUGUGAUCUUUGGGCUCAGUGCCAGGCCCAGCUAUCCUGCUGGCGCGGUAGGAAGCCAGAAAAGCCCCUACCCACUCCUGCUAGAGCCUAGGGGCUGCUGUUCCCUCUAGGACUCCACCAGGGAGCAGGAGGGGCCUUCACGGGGCUGGUGCAGACCUAAGACCUCCCACGCUUGCCCUCAGCCAGAGCCCUGAGACCCACACCCUCCUCUGCCACCUCCAGAAAAAGCCUCCGGUCCUGGACACCUUUGAUGACUUCCUUUCCCAUCCGUGCUGCUGGAGAUGUCUACACUAGGAACUCACUGGGAUGGACCUGUGUCCUGCAGGAAGGGCGGAGUGAGAGCCGGCCAGUGUCUGAGCUCCAGGAAUGGCAAAGAGGAAGCUGCACAAUAUUUCCCAGGCUUUGCACCAAGUACCUGGACUCCAAAUUCCCUGCCCAAGCCGCAGAGGCCAUACGGAUGCCUCCCUCAGACCCACCACAGGGGGACCUCGCCCUUGGUGGGGGCCGGGGGAGGUCCAUGGUCCGGCUCCUCCGUCACCGUGCUCCAGCACAGCACCUCAAGCAGUCCAGAAAGUUCUACAUGGAGCCGCCUUCCAGGUGUUGUGAGAUGUAUCUGUCCAGCCAGGGGGAUGGGGUGCUCUAUUCCAUCACUUGUUGGCUGAUAUAUACAUUUAUUUUUUCUUUACAGUGACUAUCCAUUAUUUUAUUUUAUUUUAAUUAAUUCAUUAAUUUAUUUUUUUUUAUUUUUUGGAGAGAGAGUUUCGCUCUUGCUUUUGCCCAGGCUGGAGUGCAAUGACGCGAUCUCGGCUCAUCACAACCUCUGCCUCUCGGGUUCAAGCGAUUCUCCUGCCUCAGCCUCCCUAGUAGCUGGGAUGACAGACGUGCACCACCACGUCUGGCUAAUUUUUUUGUAUUUUUGGUAGAGACAGGGUUACACCAUGUUGGCCAGGCUGGUCUCAAACUCCUGGCCUCAGGUGA
rnacentral:lncRNA from 1 species